rnacentral:rRNA from 1 species
AUGAACGCUGGCGGCGUGCCUAAUACAUGCCAGUCGAGCGAACAGAUGAGGAGCUUGCUCCUCUGACGUUAGCGGCGGACGGGUGAGUAACACGUGGAUAACCUACCUAUAAGACUGGGAUAACUUCGGGAAACCGGAGCUAAUACCGGAUAAUAUAUUGAACCGCAUGGUUCAAUAGUGAAAGACGGUUUUGCUGUCGCUUAUAGAUGGAUCCGCGCCGCAUUAGCUAGUUGGUAAGGUAACGGCUUACCAAGGCAACGAUGCGUAGCCGACCUGAGAGGGUGAUCGGCCACACUGGAACUGAGACACGGUCCAGACUCCUACGGGAGGCAGCAGUAGGGAAUCUUCCGCAAUGGGCGAAAGCCUGACGGAGCAACGCCGCGUGAGUGAUGAAGGUCUUCGGAUCGUAAAACUCUGUUAUUAGGGAAGAACAAAUGUGUAAGUAACUAUGCACGUCUUGACGGUACCUAAUCAGAAAGCCACGGCUAACUACGUG